CGCCUUUGGAAAAGAUCAUAGGUCCUGCCUGCCCGGUGAUUUUAGGAUUAAACGGCUGCGGUACUCUGACCGUGCAAAGGUAGCAUAAUCAUUAGCCUGCUAAUUUCAGGCUGGAAUCAAUGGCAAGACGAAGAAAAAGCUGUCUCUUUACAUUAUAUUUGAAUUUUUCGUUUUGGUUAAGAGACCGGAAUGGUUAAGUGGGACGAGAAGACCCUAUUGAGCUUUAAUUUUUUAUUAGAGGUGAAUAUUUAAUAUUAAGUUUUGGUUGGGGCAACGGUUUUUUUUAUUAAACAAAAGAUAUAAAGAAUGAAUUAAUUCUUGUUUUGACCUAGAAGAUAUGUUCUGGUAAAUAGAAGAAGUUACCAUAGGGAUAACAGCGUAAUUCUUUUUGAGAGUGCCUAUUGACAAAAGAGUUUGCGACCUCGAUGUUGGAUCAGGUUUACCUGGGGGUGCAGCAGCUUCUAAGGGUUGGUUUGUUCAACCAUAAAAAACUU
rnacentral:rRNA from 1 species